rnacentral:rRNA from 1 species
UGGGGAAUAUUGGACAAUGGGCGCAAGCCUGAUCCAGCCAUGCCGCGUGAGUGAAGAAGGCCCUAGGGUUGUAAAGCUCUUUCACCGGUGAAGAUAAUGACGGUAACCGGAGAAGAAGCCUCGGCUAACUUCGUGCCAGCAGCCGCGGUAAUACGAAGGGGGCUAGCGUUGUUCGGAUUUACUGGGCGUAAAGGGCACGUAGGCGGACUUUUAAGUCAGGGGUGAAAUCCCGGGGCUCAACCCCGGAACUGCCUUUGAUACUGGAAGUCUUGAGUAUGGUAGAGGUGAGUGGAAUUCCGGGUGUAGAGGUGAAAUUCGUAGAUAUUCGGAGGAACACCAGUGGCGAAGGCGGCUCACUGGACCAUUACUGACGCUGAGGUGCGAAAGCGUGGGGAGCAAACAGG